rnacentral:rRNA from 1 species
ACGGGAGGCAGCAGUGGGGAAUAUUGCGCAAUGGAGGCAACUCUGACGCAGCAACGCCGUGUGCAGGAUGACGGCCCUAGGGUUGUAAACUGCUUUCAGUAGGGAAGAAGUAAUUGACGGUACCUACACAAGAAGCUCCGGCUAACUACGUGCCAGCAGCCGCGGUAAUACGUAGGGAGCAAGCGUUAUCCGGAUUCAUUGGGCGUAAAGCGCGCGUAGGCGGGUGUUUAAGCGGGACUUUUAACCCGAGGGCUCAACCCCCGGUCGGGUCCCGAACUGGACAUCUUGAGUGCGGUAGAGGCAGGUGGAAUUCCAUGUGUAGCGGUGAAAUGCGCAGAUAUAUGGAAGAACACCAAUAGCGAAGGCAGCCUGCUGGGCCGACACUGACGCUGAGGUGCGAAAGCUAGGGGAGCAAACAGGAUUAGAUACCCUGGUA